GGAAGAGAAACGUCCCCGGUGGGGCGCCCGGACUUCAAAUCCGGUGGGAGGCGCCUUGCUGUGUCUCCGGUGGGUUCGACUCCUGCCUCUUCCGCCA
rnacentral:tRNA from 1 species